CUCAGCGUCUUCGUCGCGAAGCUGAUCCAGAAGCGGAAGUAAGCUCCCGACUAAUGUACCUGCCACCACCACCAUGUUCACCAUAUCUGCGCUUUCGUCGUGAAGCUGAUCCAGAAGCGGAAGUAGGCUACCGAUCAAUGUACUAUCCACGACCAUGUCCAACACAUUCGCACCUUCGUCAUGGAGCUGAUGCAGAUGCGGAAUUAUAUUACUGACCAGUGCACAUACAUCACCCAAACAUCAUAUCCGGCUGAAUGUACGUUAAAUACUCGAAGAAGUAUUCUUUAUUUCCCUAAUAUACCCAAGGCGAAUUGAAAUAUUUUAACCUAAUACUCUGUAAGAUGUAGUUAACUUCACAAUAAAAUUAGUUAUUAUUUUAAAAUGUA
rnacentral:lncRNA from 1 species